CCUACGGGUGGCUGCAGUGAGGAAUAUUGGUCAAUGGCCGAAAGUCUGAACCAGCCAAGUCGCGUGAAGGAUGACGGCCCUAUGGGUUGUAAACCUCUUUUGUCAAGGAGUAAAGCGCGGCACGUGUGCCUCUUUGCGUGUACCUUAUGAAUAAGGAUCGGCUAACUCCGUGCCAGCAGCCGCGGUAAUACGGAGGAUCCGAGCGUUAUCCGGAUUUAUUGGGUUUAAAGGGUGCGUAGGUGGGUUGUUAAGUCAGCUGUGAAAGUUCGCGGCUCAACCGUGAAAUUGCAAUUGAUACUGGCAGUCUGGAGUGCAGGUGAGGUAGGCGGAAUGCGUGGUGUAGCGGUGAAAUGCAUAGAUAUCACGAAGAACCCCGAUUGCGAAGGCAGCUUACUAGAGUGUGACUGACAUUGAUGCUCGAAAGUGUGGGUAUCGAACAGGAUUAGAUACCCUGGUAGUC
rnacentral:rRNA from 1 species